rnacentral:rRNA from 1 species
UACGAGGGGGGCAAGCGUUGUUCGGAAUUAUUGGGCGUAAAGGGCGCGUAGGCGGUGCGGUAAGUCUGAUGUGAAAUCUCCGGGCUCAACUCGGAGUCUGCAUCAGAAACUGCCGUGCUUGAGUGUGGGAGAGGUGAGUGGAAUUCCCGGUGUAGCGGUGAAAUGCGUAGAUAUCGGGAGGAACAUCAGUGGCGAAGGCGGCUGCCUGGCCCAAUACUGACACUCAGGUGCGACAGCGUGGGGAGCAAACAGG